rnacentral:rRNA from 1 species
CCUACGGGAGGCAGCAGUGAGGAAUAUUGGUCAAUGGGCGAGAGCCUGAACCAGCCAAGUAGCGUGCAGGAAGACGGCCCUAUGGGUUGUAAACUGCUUUUAUAGGGGAAUAAAGUGAUCUACGUGUAGUUUAUUGUAUGUACCCUAUGAAUAAGGACCGGCUAAUUCCGUGCCAGCAGCCGCGGUAAUACGGAAGGUUCGGGCGUUAUCCGGAUUUAUUGGGUUUAAAGGGAGCGUAGGCCGUAGAUUAAGCGUGUUGUGAAAUGUAGAUGCUCAACAUCUGACUUGCAGCGCGAACUGGUUUACUAGAGUGUGCGCAACGUAGGCGGAAUUCGUCGUGUAGCGGUGAAAUGCUUAGAUAUGACGAAGAACUCCGAUUGCGAAGGCAGCUUACGGGAGCACAACUGACGCUGAAGCUCGAAGGUGCGGGUAUCAAACA